CCUACGGGAGGCAGCAGUGGGGAAUAUUGGACAAUGGGCGAAAGCCUGAUCCAGCCAUGCCGCGUGUGUGAAGAAGGCCUUCGGGUUGUAAAGCACUUUCAGUGGGGAAGAAAGCCUUGGGGCUAAUACCCUCGAGGAAGGACAUCACCCACAGAAGAAGCACCGGCUAACUCCGUGCCAGCAGCCGCGGUAAUACGGAGGGUGCGAGCGUUAAUCGGAAUUACUGGGCGUAAAGCGCGCGUAGGCGGUCUGAUAAGCCGGUUGUGAAAGCCCCGGGCUCAACCUGGGAACGGCAUCCGGAACUGUCAGGCUAGAGUGCAGGAGAGGAAGGUAGAAUUCCCGGUGUAGCGGUGAAAUGCGUAGAGAUCGGGAGGAAUACCAGUGGCGAAGGCGGUCUCCUGGACUGACACUGACGCUGAGGUGCGAAAGCGUGGGUAGCAAACAGGAUUAGAUACCCUAGUAGUC
rnacentral:rRNA from 1 species